rnacentral:rRNA from 1 species
AUUGAACGCUGGCGGCAGGCUUAACACAUGCAAGUCGAGCGGAGAUGAGGUGCUUGCACCUUAUCUUAGCGGCGGACGGGUGAGUAAUGCUUAGGAAUCUGCCUAUUAGUGGGGGACAACAUUCCGAAAGGAAUGCUAAUACCGCAUACGCCCUACGGGGGAAAGCAGGGGAUCUUCGGACCUUGCGCUAAUAGAUGAGCCUAAGUCGGAUUAGCUAGUUGGUGGGGUAAAGGCCUACCAAGGCGACGAUCGGUAGCGGGGCUGAGAGGAUGGUCCGCCACACUGGGACUGAGACACGGCCCAGACUCCUACGGGAGGCAGCAGUGGGGAAUAUUGGACAAUGGGCGGAAGCCUGAUCCAGCCAUGCCGCGUGUGUGAAGAAGGCCGUUUGGUUGUAAAGCACUUUAAGCGAGGAGGAGGCUACCUGGAUUAAUACUCUAGGAUAGUGGACGUUACUCGCAGAAUAAGCACCGGCUAACUCUGUGCCAGCAGCCGCCGUAACAC